GAUGAAGAACGUAGCGAAACGCGAUAGUUAAUGUGAAUUGCAGAAUUCAGUGAAUCAUCGAAUCUUUGAACGCACAUUGCGCCCGCCAGCAUUCUGGCGGGCAUGCCUGUUCGAGCGUCAUUUCAACCCUCGAGCCCCCCCGGGGGCCUCGGUGUUGGGGGACGGCACACCAGCCGCCCCCGAAAUGCAGUGGCGACCCCGCCGCAGCCUCCCCUGCGUAGUAGCACACACCUCGCACCGGAGCGCGGAGGCGGUCACGCCGUAAAACGCCCAACUUUCUUAGAGUUGACCUCGGAUCAGGUAGGAAUACCCGCUGAACUUAAGCAUAUCAAUAAGCGGAGGA
rnacentral:misc_RNA from 1 species